rnacentral:lncRNA from 1 species
UCGCAUCAUUACCCUCUUUAUCUUGCACUAAACCUGAGGAAAUAAAAUUACAAUCUUGACAUGUAGUUUAACACAAUACAGCAGAUAAGACUAAAAUCUCAUGUCAAAUGCUUCUUUUACGAAGAACAGUUUGUACGUCUUGAUAUGUCGGUGAACACAAUAUACCGAGAAACAACGAAAACAAUGGUGGCCCAUCAAAACGACUUGUUGAGUAAAAUAUUGUUGUCCAACUACGCAUGCAAUGUCGUCAUUCAGCACUACCCUUCGUUUUCGUAUUACUUCGGGAACUGGAAUGAAGCUCGUAUGUCAACAUCCUAAUAACGAUCUGGAAUAUUGAAGUCGAGAAAAAAAAAAGAAAAAGUAAAGACCGACCGCAAGGAUACAAAUUAACGAUCUGCAACCGACUAUUCUAAAGGUACAGUACAAAGAUUCGGGUAUCAGAGUUCAAAAAUGACUUACUGUAAGGUAGGUGAAACCAUGGAAUCCGAACCUAGUUACUCGACAAGAGUUCUGCAACAAUCUUCAACCUGUCAGCUAGAAGAUUUCGUCAGUUUUUUUUUAGUAAAGAACACUUUGUAAAAAAAUUAAAGCAGAUGCUCACACAUUCCCAAACAUGGUCUGGACCAUCUUCAAACCCCGAAUACAACAAUCUCACCCAAGACCGCCAGUCGGAACACUUGGAAUGUUGUCAUCCACAAUGGCCAGCAAAAA